rnacentral:rRNA from 1 species
GCGAACGCUGGCGGCAGGCUUAACACAUGCAAGUCGAGCGGGCAUCCUUGUGGUGUCAGCGGCAGACGGGUGAGUAACGCGUGGGAACGUGCCCUUCGGUUCGGAAUAACUCAGGGAAACUUGAGCUAAUACCGGAUACGCCCUUUUGGGGAAAGGUUUACUGCCGAAGGAUCGGCCCGCGUCUGAUUAGCUAGUUGGUGAGGUUAUGGCUCACCAAGGCGACGAUCAGUAGCUGGUCUGAGAGGAUGAUCAGCCACACUGGGACUGAGACACGGCCCAGACUCCUACGGGAGGCAGCAGUGGGGAAUAUUGGACAAUGGGGGCAACCCUGAUCCAGCCAUGCCGCGUGAGUGAUGACGGCCUUAGGGUUGUAAAGCUCUUUUCUCCGGGACGAUAAUGACGGUACCGGAGGAAUAAGCCCCGGCUAACUUCGUG